rnacentral:lncRNA from 1 species
ACUAGAAUAUAAGAAAUGCUACGUCAUAGCAUGGAGCCAUUCCCCACCUCACCCCGAGCUCAUUGAAGGAAUUCUAGUGCUGAUUUUGGGGAACAGACCCCAGCUCUCCAUCCCUCUGUCAGUGUGCUUUCAAAAUCCCCUCUGCAGUGCUUCAGCCAAGAACUGAAUUUAACAAAUUCAGAUCAGCAAGACUGCAAAAGAAAUGUGGCUGUGACAAGCAGCUCUGGCACCAGGGUGAGCCACCCACUUCUCCUCUGUCUCAGGUGGCAGCCCAGAAAAGCAGGUUAAUAACACCAAUCUCACAGAGAAGUCGUGAGCUUGCAUUUCUCAGCCAGAUUGGAGACAGCCAGAAAACAGCUGAGGCACCUCCAGAAAGAGGGUGAAAGGUGGGAUCCAGAAAAUCUGCUGGCACCAAUAGCAACUCUUGCCACACAGAAAUGCUCCCAGGGAAAUUAAUUUAAUUUAACAGGGCUAUCGGAGAACAUCUGUUCUUCCUCGUGGAUUUGCAGAGGUGGGUUCCUCCUCUUCUUCCU